GACGAACGCUGGCGGCGCGCCUAACACAUGCAAGUCGAACGGAGUCACGAGGAGCUUGCUUUUCUUGACUUAGUGGCGAACGGGUGAGUAACGCGUGCGUAACCUGCCCUGGAGUGGGGGACAACAGCUGGAAACGACUGCUAAUACCGCAUAAGCCCACGGAUCUGCAUGGACCUGCGGGCAAAGGAUUUAUUCGCGCUAGGAUGGACUCUCGUCCAAUUAGCUAGUUGGUGGGGUAACGGCCCACCAAGGCGAGGAUUGGUAGCCGGACUGAGAGGUUGAACCGCCACACUGGGACUGGGACACGGCCCAGACUCCUACGGGAGGCAGCAGUGGGGGAUAUUGCACAAUGGGGGAAGUCAUGAUGCAGCGACGCCGCGAGGAGGAAGAAGGUUGUCGGAUAGUAAACUCCUGUAGUAAGGGACGAUAAUGACGGUACCUAAAAAGAAAGCACCAGCUAACUACGUG
rnacentral:rRNA from 1 species